UGAGGCAGGAGGCUGGACUGAAUGGCUGGAAGAUGUUCCUUCUUUAAGGACAGGACUGAGAAUGUGUGGGUGGUGCCGGCGGAGUGCAAUGGAGCGGCAGUCCUAGGUGGAGAGUCAGACCCAGAACUAAGUGUUGGUGUUCACAAGUUCACAGGAGUUCUCCUGAUCCCUGGGAGAUUCGCUCAUGGCUCAGCAGAGUGGUCCUGAAUUCGAUGAUGGGUGUCCUUAGAAGAGAAAGGCAGAGGAAGAUUUGACACAGAGACACGGAGCAUAAGGCCAUUGGAAGACAGAGGCAGAGACUGGAAUGAUGCAGCCACAGCCAAGGAUCGUGUGGAGCCACCAGGAGCUGGAAGAGCCUGGCAAAGAUUCUCCUAGGGCCUCCAGAGGGAGUGA